rnacentral:rRNA from 1 species
GACGAACGCUGGCGGCGUGCCUAAUACAUGCAAGUUGAGCGCUGAAGGUUGGUACUUGUACCGACUGGAUGAGCAGCGAACGGGUGAGUAACGCGUGGGGAAUCUGCCUUUGAGCGGGGGACAACAUUUGGAAACGAAUGCUAAUACCGCAUAAAAACUUUAAACACAAGUUUUAAGUUUGAAAGAUGCAAUUGCAUCACUCAAAGAUGAUCCCGCGUUGUAUUAGCUAGUUGGUGAGGUAAAGGCUCACCAAGGCGAUGAUACAUAGCCGACCUGGGAGGGUGAUAGGCCACAUUGGGACUGAGACACGGCCCAAACUCCUGCGGGAGGCAGCAGUAGGGAAUCUUCGGCAAUGGACGAAAGUCUGACCGAGCAACGCCGCGUGAGUGAAGAAGGUUUUCGGAUCGUAAAACUCUGUUGGUAGAGAAGAACGUUGGUGAGAGUGGAAAGCUCAUCAAGUGACGGUAACUACCCAGAAAGGGACGGCUAACUACGUGCCAGCCGCCGCCGUAA